CUGCAGGACCGGCUACAAAAUACUUUACAACACUUUUACCUAACCAACAACCAACACAGCACAUACCAAGAAGCUCUCUUUUCCCUAAUAAAGGAACACUGGCUUUUAUCCAGCUGGAGAAGGAGUUUGUAAUUGAAACCAGCUGUUUCCCCUGAUGAGAGGGAUGGUUCAGAGCUUCAAUCGUAGAUGGGGCCGACCAAUCAGUUGCUUAGAAUCCAGGAAGCCGUUUCCUGAAAUACACACAUACAUAUCCAAAACAACACAGAAACUGGGCGAUGUAACAUGGUGAAAGAGAUGAGUGAGGCUGCCGCUCGUGUGCGUGUCCCACCGAUUUUCUGACAAUUGGAUUGGCUUCGUGUUCACGUGAAACAUCGUCAGACACGGCCCUUCUCACCAACACCCAACGUACUGUCCAGGAGCACUCUGCUCUGCAACUCCAUCAACCUCUGCCCCAUCUCCCUGACCCAGCUCCAAUGAAGGAGGAAGACAGCUGAGGAUCCUUUGGACACUGACAUUAUGCAGCAGACGGAUGACUUAAAGACAUGGCAGCAGGAGUUACAGAAACGGCAGCAGUGUCCAGCAAAGGCCGUCUACAACGUCAUGGAUGGUGUCUAUUUUUGCUGAUAAAUGUCUCCUGUUUGUCAUGGACAUGACAAUGUACUUUCACAGUACCAUCGAUCAGUACUGUGUCCGCUCCGUCCGCUCUUGAGACAGAGCCCUCCUCAACCCAAAAACUGGUUGUGUGCUUUUGUCUUAACGAGUUUAAGUUUUUUUUACCUAUUAAAUCUGUGAAUAACA